GAUGAACGCUGGCGGCGUGCCUAAUACAUGCAAGUCGAGCGAACAGACGAGGAGCUUGCUCCUCUGACGUUAGCGGCGGACGGGUGAGUAACACGUGGAUAACCUACCUAUAAGACUGGGAUACCUUCGGGAAACCGGAGCUAAUACCGGAUAAUAUAUUGAACCGCAUGGUUCAAUAGUGAAAGACGGUUUUGCUGUCACUUAUAGAUGGAUCCGCGCCGCAUUAGCUAGUUGGGAAGGUAACGGCUUACCAAGGCAACGAUGCGUAGCCGACCUGAGAGGGUGAACGGCCACACUGUAACAGAGACACGGUCCAGACUCCUACGGGAGGCAGCAGUAGGGAAUCUUCCGCAAUGGGCGAAAGCCGGACGGAGCAACGCCGCGUGAGGGAUGAAGGUCUUCGGAUCGUAAAACUCUGUUAUUAGGGAAGAACAAAUGUGUAAGUAACUAUGCACGUCUUGACGGUACCUAAUCAGAAAGCCACGGCUAACUACGUG
rnacentral:rRNA from 1 species